GUGUUCGCUUCGGCAGCACAUACACUAAAAUUGGAACGAUACAGAGAAGAUUAGCAUGGCCCCUGUGCAAGGAUGAGAAGCAGGCUCCCUGGGAGGAGCCCGAUGUGG
ensembl:snRNA U6 U6 spliceosomal RNA